AUUUCAUGUUUUAAAGGCAUAAUGAUGUCACUGACUGGUG
rnacentral:snoRNA from 1 species